rnacentral:rRNA from 1 species
CACGUAGGGGGCGAGCGUUGUCCGGAUUCAUUGGGCGUAAAGGGCGCGCAGGCGGCUCGGAAAGUCGGGUGUGAAAACUCGGGGCUCAACCCCGGGCGUGCAUCCGAUACUGCCGGGCUUGAGGCAGGUAGGGGAGAUCGGAAUUCCUGGUGUAGCGGUGAAAUGCGCAGAUAUCAGGAGGAACACCGGUGGCGAAGGCGGAUCUCUGGGCCAUUAUUGACGCUGAGGAGCGAAAGCGUGGGGAGCGAACAGG